AACGAACGCUGGCGGCAUGCCUAACACAUGCAAGUCGAACGGGAUCCUGGCUUCGGCCAGGUGAGAGUGGCGGACGGGUGAGUAACGCGUGGGAAACUGCCCAUUGGUCUGGGAUAACUGCGGGAAACUGCAGCUAAUACCGGAUGUACCCGAGUGGGGAAAGAUUUAUCGCCGAUGGAGGGGCCCGCGUCAGAUUAGGUAGUUGGUGAGGUAACGGCGUCACCAAGCCUACGAUCUGUAGCUGGUCUGAGAGGAAUGAUCAGCCACACUGGGACUGAGAUACGGCCCAGACUCCUACGGAGGCAGCAGUGGGGAAUAUUGGACGAAGUGGGGGCAACCCUGAUCCAGCAAUGCCGCGUGAGUGAUGAAGGCCUUAGGGUUGUAAAG
rnacentral:rRNA from 1 species